rnacentral:rRNA from 1 species
GGAGGGUUUCCGCCCUUCAGUGCUGCAGCUAACGCAUUAAGCACUCCGCCUGGGGAGUACGACCGCAAGGUUGAAACUCAAAGGAAUUGACGGGGGCCCGCACAAGCGGUGGAGCAUGUGGUUUAAUUCGAAGCAACGCGAAGAACCUUACCAGGUCUUGACAUCCUUUGACCACUCUAGAGACAGAGCUUCCCCUUCGGGGGCAAAGUGACAGGUGGUGCAUGGUUGUCGUCAGCUCGUGUCGUGAGAUGUUGGGUUAAGUCCCGCAACGAGCGCAACCCUUAUUGUUAGUUGCCAUCAUUCAGUUGGGCACUCUAGCAAGACUGCCGGUGACAAACCGGAGGAAGGUGGGGAUGACGUCAAAUCAUCAUGCCCCUUAUGACCUGGGCUACACACGUGCUACAAUGGGAAGUACAACGAGUUGCGAAGUCGCAAGGCUAAGCUAAUCUCUUAAAGCUUCUCUCAGUUCGGAUUGCAGGCUGCAACUCGCCUGCAUGAAGCCGGAAUCGCUAGUAAUCGCGGAUCAGCACGCCGCGGUGAAUACGUUCCCGGGCCUUGUACACACCGCCCGUCACACCACGAGAGUUUGUAACACCCGAAGUCGGUGAGGUAACCUUUUUGGAGCCAGCCGCCUAAGGUGGGAUAGAUGAUUGGGGUGAAGUCGUAACAAGGUAGCCGUAUCGGAAGGUGCGGCUG